AGCCCUCAUUUUAUCCCUGAUUUGCAGCCCUCAAAAGACGAUUUCUUAGGGUUCCUUCCAACGACCGCCGAUCCACCAUUUAAUUCGGUGGUCAGUGAUGCACGGGCCACGACCAGAUUUCCCCGACGACAGCACCAUGCGAGGAACCAGGUAUGCCAUCUUAUUUCUUUCGUUUUCUUAUUUUUUUUUAAAAAAAUCUAGAUCUAAUGCUGUUCUAAAAAAUGAAACCGAAUAUAAAAAAAACUUAAUAUCAUCUGACCCUCAUCUGUAUCUCAAUAUUUCUGAGAUAUUCGGGGUUUUAUUGGUGUCGUUCCAAACGUUUUUUUCUUUUAUACUAAAGUCAUAAGGGAAUGAGAAAAAAAAACAAACGGAUAAACAAACUUGAAGAUCACAUUUCUCUUUGGUUGCUUUGUAUUGCUUGUGUAUAUUUUCGUUCGUAAAAAAAUUUUCCCCUGAUUACAAGAUUAAAAUCUGGCUUUAUAGCCGAAAAGAAAGAGGAAAAUAAAUCAAAAUACAAUAUGUGUUUUUUUUUAUUUGUAUUUGCUACUGUGUUUGUCUAUUUCUUUUACAGGUACGGGUGUGUGGCGUGCGUACGAGGCUGUACUGGCGUACGAGGGCUGUUGACGUGGAGGCACGAGCGGCGUUGGGGCUAUACGGUGGCUGAUGGCUGCGGCGCGAAGAGAGAGAGCCCUAGGGUUCUAAAGUUGUAAUUUUUUUGGGCCUAUCGGGCCUGUAUUUGGGUCUUGGGUAUUUAAUCAUGUAACUUGGACUAUUA
rnacentral:lncRNA from 1 species